rnacentral:tRNA from 1 species
GGGCCCAUAGAUCAGACUGGUAGAUCGCUGCCUUCGCAAGGCAGAGGCCUCGGGUUCAAAUCCCGAUGGGUCCA